CCCAGAGAACUGAUUAAUAUCCUGUUACUUUGGUCAUUUUUGAUCAAGUCAUCCUGAAUGUGAAAGAUAAUCUAAAUAAAUCACUUUUACCUCUUUGGGCCUUAAAAAAUGUGAUGUGGUAAAAUGCAAAAAGAAGAGUGUAAGCCACAUUCAAGGCGUUUAAUGACGGUUUCAGUAUCGUAAUUCAGGGUCCGAGAUAUUCUGUAAUUACAGCUUCUUAUCACUCUGAUGCUUGGUCAGUCGUUCAUCUCUCCAGUGAAUUUAAUAGUUUUUUCUUGUGUUCUAAAAGUGGGGUGAGCAUCAUAAUUGACAGCUGAGACUGACUCAUGAUCAGUCGAGCAGGUGCAUCUGUGCUGGGAAGACUGGUUUUCAAAAGCGCAAGAUGGCAGCGUUCGUACCUGGGAUAUUUUGGCUUCAUUUCUGGAUCGUUGGAGGAAGUGGAGACUUUUCGUUUACCAUCAAGCACCAAAAACUGAUGGAAAGUCAUAUUAUUAGUCAUUCAAACAGGGGCUUGGAUGUGUUUGCCUGAAAUAACCGACCACUGCCAAGAUGGCUGCCGAGAGGGAAAUUGCCUAUAAAUUAGUUGGCUAAACUAAUCAUGUGCAGCUCAGAAGGUCCUGUCUCUCUGAAUUCCUUUUUCUUAAAAGAAGAUAGAAAACCUGCUCAUGGAAUGAAGGCGUUUCCUCCAAUAAAAUAAUUCAAACAGGGGAACCGGUGUCUCCAGAGGCAGAAUGUCCCAGUUCUCUGAAGAUUCUUUCAGCCCGAACACAAGUCAGGCUUUUUGCAGGGAGGCCGUGCAGGAGCGGAGCCCCCCUGCGGCCACACAGCCAGUCAGUGGAGCUGCACUUUCACGGUCCCUCUCAUAAAGAGCUGCCCUGCUUUAUGGCCCUGUUGCCCAACAUCACAUGCCUCCAGUGUCGGGAUAUGAUCUGAGAUAAGGCAAGAAAGCACCGAAACAAGUCUCACUCUCCUCCUUCCCUCGCGCUCCUCAUUCGGAUAAAUGACCUGAACGGAGGAACAUUACAAGGUUUGGUUUUGAAACGGUUGACAAACACAGUGAUUAGAAUCUGUACCAAAGUGUGUCACAUUAUAUCUCCAAUGUGAAAUGUUGUGGGUGGUUCUGAUGGGACUUCUUGGGAAGAUAUCAAAGAAUCACUGAGAUGCCCUUAUGGAUACAAGUUUUAUAAAUCAAGUCUUUACGAUAAGCUGAUUACCUUAUCCUUGACAGCAGCGCACAGCGAGGGCCGUAAAGGUGCAGGAUUAUGAGGUGAUGGCCCAUAAAGGGUUCGGCUCAGAUAAGGAGGUUUGUGGGAGUGAAAAACACAGAUGGUGACUUUAGGCCAAUGGAAACUGGUUUUCUCAAUGACAAUCAGGUCGUCUCGGCCACAUAUCACUGCACGGCACCUGAAUCUGCAGCUUUCUUAACUUUAGGGGGUCAAUCGUGGCAUUCAUUUUAACCAGGAGCAAACUUGUCAUGUUUCCAUUUUCUGGGGGGGGGGAAAUGAACAGAGAUGGUCAUAAAAAUAUUGCGGCCCAUGAAAGGCAGCCACUUCAACCUUUAACCUGCUCCUCAUUUACUGAAGCGGGAAGUUUGUUGAGAUGUGGAAGGAUGUUAAAUCUUGUGUACUUGUGUGUAAAUAUCUUCACUGAUAUGAGAAGGGUAUUAAAGAUCACUGUAUGGAGCAGAGAUCCUUCCCCUCCGAUACCUCUCCAUUCGCUUUCAGUUUUACCUGAACAAACUUCAUGCGUAUUUUGUUUUGCCUGCAGUCCCAAUGAAAUUCCUCCCCGCUGAGGUGCACCUCUCUUAUCUUCACAAUGGCUCUAUUAAUGAGCCUAAUGGCACAUGAGUGAUACCCACACCCGAGUGAAACUGUGCGGGGUGACUGCCUCUGCAACUUCCCGCAUUGCAAUGCAGCCCUCGGUGGCUGCAGUCCAUUCGGAGGAAACCAUUAGAACAAACUGCUCUCAGGUGCAGCAAAGCAGACCGGGCUCCACCAUUUAUGAACCAAAUCACCUCUGGGUGUCCUACGCUGCAAGGACAAAGUUUGUCUUCAUGCAAAGUCUCACACCCUUCACCCACACAGCAGCAGCAUUAUGUAGACCCACAGAAAUUGAGUCUGUAUUGUUUGUAGUGGGAGAGCUCAAAUUUUCCCUUUGGUCAAAAAUACUAUUUUUCUGCUAAACGUCCUGUUACAUUUAAUGUGAAUGAUUAAUAAAACGUACGAGUUUGUAUGCAUCACAGUCGAUAAAGUCUUGUUUGAUUCUGUCAUAAUAUUGAUCACUUUUUGUAUAAGCUCCCUAAAAAAAUCUUUAUGUAAAGUUAAAAAACUUCCCCGGUGCACUACAAACUCUACCUUAUGGCUUUUCACACAACGAUACAAGUAAAAAAACUAAACAUGUUGGUCACAUGUAAAAAAAUUAACCCAUAUGUAAUACCGGAACAUGUACUUAAUUAUUGAGGAAUCGGAAAAAUUUUACUAAUAUUUUUAAAACGUGACCCACUUUAAAUUAACUUGACUGUUUGACUGUGUAUUGUUAAAAAACAAUAUUUACGUCAACAACAGAAGAAGAGAGACAGAGAGAAAAAUACAAUAGAAAUUUGUCUUGAAGACAAAGGUGUCCCUCUUGUGGUUACAAUGUGGAAGUGCAUAAAGACCAUUAUUUCUGAUAAGACAAUUCAAACAUUCGUGACCGAUUA